rnacentral:lncRNA from 1 species
CUAAGUUGAGGGUGGUAAAGAUUGAAGGAAGUAAGUUUGGGUCCACGAAGUGCUAGUAAAAUAUGAAACGUGCCAAAGUGUUGGAAAUAAAAGAAUAGAAGAAGAAAAGAUCUAAUAAAGGAAAGAAUUGCAUGAAAAUUGCAAGGUCAAGAAACAAAACAAAUGGGUGAAUAAAAGAAUCAAAAAGUAGGCAUGAUAAAAUAGAGAAAAUAAAGAAAAGUGGCCCAUAGUCUAAAGGAGGAUUGAAAAGUGUGAUGUAGAUGUUCAAGGAAGGUUGUAGCCAUGUUUCUCCCAAAUGAUAUCCUACCCUAACCCGAACCCAUGUUAUGAGCUUAGAAAGUCCUUUG